AUUGAACGCUGGCGGAAUGCUUUACACAUGCAAGUCGAACGGCAGCACGGGGGCAACCCUGGUGGCGAGUGGCGAACGGGUGAGUAUACAAUCGAACGUUCCCGGUCGUGGGGGAUAAAGUUAGGAAAGGUAACCCUAUUCCCGAUUCGGAUCGGGGGUGGAAGCGGGGGGACCUCCGGCCCUCGCCGGUUGGGGCGGGCGAUGUCAGAUUAGGUAGUUGGUGGGGUAAAGGCCUACCAAGCCGACGAUCUGUAGCUGGUCUGAGAGGACGACCAGCCACACUGGGACUGAGACACGGCCCAGACUCCUACGGGAGGCAGCAGUGGGGAAUUUUGGACAAAGGGCGCAAGCCUGAUCCAGCCAUUCCGCGUGCAGGACGAAGGCCUUCGGGUUGUAAACUGCUUUUGUAUGGAACGAAAAGGCUCUGGCUAAUACCUGGGGCUCAUGACGGUACCGUAAGAAUAAGCACCGGCUAACUACGUG
rnacentral:rRNA from 1 species